rnacentral:lncRNA from 1 species
ACUCUACUAAAUUGUGGAUUCUUGAAGGACAGGAUCAUGCUGCUUGCAUCUCUGUAUCCUUCAUGGCUAAGGAGAGUAUCCGGAACAUAGUAGGAUCUCAGUAUCUCUUCAUGGAAUUUACACGUCCAUUUGGCCUCUGAAAACCACAUCCUCUCCUCUACAGCUUGUCUACUUUCUUUUCCUGAGGCCAACUGUUAGGAAAUGAUGUUCUAAGGUACUUUGAAAAAUGUUUAAUUCAAUGAUAAAGAGCCUGCCCAAGAGUUUAAAAUACAAUAAAAACAAGAACGUACAUCAAUUGUUGAUCCCAUCUGAUGGCAGUCUGUCCUUGAGCAUAUAGCUAAAAGGAUUUUCUCUGUAUCAAGUGGCACAACUACGGUGGACAUUCUGGAAACCAGGACUCUCAUGUCUUCUGCUAGCAUGUCAAAAACUGUGAAGAGUCUGAAAUUUUACUCUACUUGCAAGCAGUCUCACUCUAUCUCCCAGGCUGGAGUGGAAUGGCGCGAUCUCGGCUCACUGCAACCUCCACCUCCCGGGUUUAAGUGAUUCUUCUGCCUCAGCCUCCCGAGUAGCUGGAACUAGAGGCGCCUGCCACCAUGCCCGGCUAAUUUUUGUAUUUUUAGUAGAUAUGGGGUUUCACCAUAUUGGCCAGGAUGGUCUCGAACUCCUGACUUCGUGAUUUGCCUGCCUCGGCUUCCCAACGUGCUGAGAUUACAGGCAUGAGCCACUGUGCCUGGCCAACUGAAUGUUUUAAAUUAUGCUGUAUCUCUUAAAACACUUAAAAAUAAAAUCUUAUGAAUCACCGAUUUAUUAAUACAAGGCAACUAACAACAAAGAGCCUAGAGAGACUUUAGGUCUCUUUCUUAAAGAAGUUCAUAAUUUAAUAACCUCUCUGGGCUUCAUUUUCUUUAUCUUUAAAGUAAGGACACUGAACUUGACUUUCUCCAAGAUUCCCCAAGGGAGGUUCCAAGGCUUUCUAAUACAGUCAUGUUAUAUGUUAUAUAACCAAGCACUCAGAGCAGUUCCUGGCCAUUUGUGAGGAAGGAGAAUAGGAUCUGGAGGCAGGGAACCUAUGACUGAUUUGCACUAACUUCCUAGAACGAAUCGAAAGGAAAACCCCACCUCUCCACACCAAAGUAACAAAAGGAUCAGAGGCUACUCUUUUUGCACUUCAUCGUAGAGGAAAAAUGAAAAGUACCUCUGAUUGUUUCCUUCCCACAACCAAUCAGACUGGUGGCAGGCCUAGUCUUCAUUUGCAUGUAACUUUGUAACUUUACUUCAUCCUCUGAUUGGUCCCCUCCCACAACCAAUCAGACUGGUCACAGGCUACAUCUUCAUUUACAGAGAGUGUAACCAAGUAACCAAUGGGAAACCUCUAGAGGGUGUUUAAACCCCAGAAAAUUCUGUAACCAGCACUCUUGAGCUGCUUGCUCGAGCCUACUCCCACUCUGUGGAGUGUACUUUUGUUUCAAUAAAUCUAUGCUUUUAUUGCUUCAUC